GAAGGUAUGGCUCAGUAGUAGAGCAUGUGCUUAGCAUACACAAGGUCCUGGAUUCAAUCCACAGUACAUCCA
rnacentral:tRNA from 1 species